rnacentral:tRNA from 1 species
GCGGGGAUCGCGGAGCCUGGUCAAACGCGCGAGGUUCAGGGCCUCGUCUCUCAGGAGUUCGUGGGUUCGGGCCCCUUUUUCUGUU